rnacentral:rRNA from 1 species
CCCAGACUCCUACGGGAGGCAGCAGUGAGGAAUAUUGGUCAAUGGGCGAGAGCCUGAACCAGCCAAGUCGCGUGAGGGAAGGCGGUCCUAUGGAUUGUAAACCUCUUUUGCCGGGGAGCAAAAAGCGGUACGUGUACCGCAUCGAGAGUACCCGGAGAAAAAGCAUCGGCUAACUCCGUGCCAGCAGCCGCGGUAAUACGGAGGAUGCGAGCGUUAUCCGGAUUUAUUGGGUUUAAAGGGUGCGUAGGCGGACGCUUAAGUCAGCGGUAAAAUUGCGGGGCUCAACCUCGUCGAGCCGUUGAAACUGGCGUUCUUGAGUGGGCGAGAAGUAUGCGGAAUGCGUGGUGUAGCGGUGAAAUGCAUAGAUAUCACGCAGAACUCCGAUUGCGAAGGCAGCAUACCGGCGCCCAACUGACGCUGAAGCACGAAAGCGUGGGUAUCGAACAGGAUUAGAUACCCCCGUAC